rnacentral:rRNA from 1 species
AGUGGCGAACGGGUGAGUAACACGUGAGUAACCUGCCCCUGACUCUGGAAUAAGCGCUGGAAACGGCGUCUAAUACCGGAUACGACACGCCUCCGCAUGGGGAGCGUGUGGAAAGUUUUUCGGUCUGGGAUGGACUCGCGGCCUAUCAGCUUGUUGGUGAGGUAAUGGCUCACCAAGGCGAUGACGGGUAGCCGGCCUGAGAGGGCGACCGGCCACACUGGGACUGAGACACGGCCCAGACUCCUACGGGAGGCAGCAGUGGGGAAUAUUGCACAAUGGGCGAAAGCCUGAUGCAGCGACGCCGCGUGAGGGAUGACGGCCUUCGGGUUGUAAACCUCUUUCAGCAGGGAAGAAGCGAAAGUGACGGUACCUGCAGAAGAAGCACCGGCUAACUACGUGCCAGCAGCCGCGGUAAUACGUAGGGUGCGAGCGUUGUCCGGAAUUAUUGGGCGUAAAGAGCUUGUAGGCGGUUUGUCGCGUCUGCCGUGAAAAUCCGGGGCUCAACCCCGGACUUGCGGUGGGUACGGGCAGACUAGAGUGUGGUAGGGGAGACUGGAAUUCCUGGUGUAGCGGUGAAAUGCGCAGAUAUCAGGAGGAACACCGAUGGCGAAGGCAGGUCUCUGGGCCACUACUGACGCUGAGAAGCGAAAGCAUGGGGAGCGAACAGGAUUAGAUACCCUGGUAGUCCAUGCCGUAAACGUUGGGCGCUAGGUGUGGGACUCAUUCCACGAGUUCCGUGCCGC